UACAGAGGUCCCAAGCGUUGUUCGGAUUUACUGGGCGUAAAGGGUGCGUAGGUGGUCGGGUAAGUCUCAUGUGAAAUCUCCAAGCCUAACUUGGAAAUGGCAUGGGAUACUAUUCGGCUAGAGGAUUGGAGGGGGGACUGGAAUUCCCGGUGUAGCAGUGAAAUGCGUAGAUAUCGGGAGGAACACCAGUGGCGAAGGCGAGUCCCUGGACAAUUCCUGACGCUGAGGCACGAAAGCUAGGGGAGCAAACAGG
rnacentral:rRNA from 1 species